AUACGGCCAUAACGCGUUGAAACGGAUUCUCGUACGAUCACCGAAGUUAAGCAACGUCGAGCCUGGUCAGUAACUAGAUGAGUGACCGAUUAGGAACACAAGGUGCUGUAAG